CUCAAAUAUGAACCCAGAGCAAAUUUAAAACACCAUAGGCUAUUUCCUUAUGGACAAAGAUGGACAAAGUCCCACCAAAAAACAGAGUGGAUGCAAUGUAGUUAGCAGCUGCUGGACGUAAGAGGGCUGAAUUCAGACAUUAGAACCCAGAGGUGUGGGACCUGAAGUUUGAUGAGUUUUGUUCCAUCACAGAAGCAAAGUGAAGAAUGACCGACAUAGAACAAAAACCCUGCCCUCAAGAAAUCCUGACUGUCUAGCUUGUCUUUGUAAAAUAUCAGUAAAUAUCUGUCCUUAAACAUUUUCUGAUUUUUCCAAGUGUGCAUCAGUCAUAUUAAGAAAUCACACAUGUUCUUAGAUUUGGAAUUCCAUUUCAGUAGCACAGCAU
rnacentral:lncRNA from 1 species